AUAUACCAGUUAUCAAUGUAAAGCUGCUUUGACACAAUCUGCAUUGCAAAAAGCAUUAUAUAAAUAAAGGUGACUUGACUUCAUAUGUUUAAAACUAAUUCGAUGUGUAGGUAAACUAUGUUCUGGAUGAUCGUAGACCAUUGAAUCAAAUCAUUGUGAAAGAUGGUCAGACAUGCUUGACAAGAGAGAAUCUCAUUACCUUGGAAAAAAGAAGGUUCAUUUAUGGUAAGUAAUAAUUACCUCAUUUGUGUUGUGUAAAGAUAUUUUUGUAAGAAAGUUUUGAUGUCUUUCUACAGGGAACAAUGUUUUCAUAAUAGAUCUCCAUAUUCCUCCAACAUGGAUCCAGCCUUUGUGCUGUGACACUUUGUGUAGUCUUCCAAUAAGUGUUUUAAUUCUAUAAGAUAAAUCAAUUUUAUACAAAAAACAUUUCAAAUUCAACCUUAUAUUUUACACAAGGUAGACUGCCAGAACAAAGAUCUCCUGAUUUUCCCACUCUAGACCCCAGGACACUUUCUUCUCUGUGUAAAUUAUGGAUAUGAACAUUUGUAAACAUUUUUUGUUGGUGUCAAAUUAGUUUGCAAGCUGAUAAAAAUCAGAUCUUUAUUACUUUUGAAUGUUGAUUGAAAUUAUACUGAUAAAGAUUGUUAAACCCAUUGCCUGGGCUGCUCUCUCUGUAGGUUAUGAAGGCACAAAAGAGAGAAAUUUUCUUUCUUCACUCCCAAUAUUCGAUGCAGGCACAAGGCUUUGGACAUGAGCUUUAUCAAAACAUCUUAAGGUUACUCAAAGCUGAUCUUUUGGCAGCCAUGUUCCCCUGGCUUGUCAACACUUUUAAAAACUAGCUAUUAAGUGGUCAUGUUUCCAUGACUUGCACUGUUCUUUAGAAAUGCACUGUUCUGCAUCAUGAUCAGUUAGUGUCCCUAUAUAUCUGUUCCUGGACCAUGGACAGAGUAUUCUGGUCUGGAUCUGUUGGUAUGCAACAGUCAUUUGCAGAAAAUGUUUAAACACUUAUAACCCUUUUCACUGAGCAUGUAAUUUCAGAAUACAAAACAGGGGCUUCCUAAACAAGAAUAUGGCAUUGACUGUGGGGUUUUUAUGAUCAUGGUAAAAGACGUGUUCCGGUAAAAUUGUCAACCAGCAGAUUAGAUGCUUUUAACUGGAAGGAAUGAUUAUUUUACUAUAUUUGCAGUUUUCCUGGUAUGUUGCCAUGGAGGCACAGUUUGAUUUCACAGAUGAUGACAUGCCUUAUUUGAGGCGGUGGUAGUGUAAGCUUCUAAUUGACCCUCCGCCAGGAGUUUGAUUGACAGGCGAUCUAACCAAUCAUAAUGCUGAAUCCGCCAUUUAGCCCCAGUCAGGGGAAUUAGCAGAUUACGUAGGUGGAUUUGAACUUGAAAAAUGUGUCCUCUUUGCUCCGCGAUAUAUUUUUUACUGCGUGAGAACAUUAUGUGUGGCAAGAGAUCGGCAUGGCUUGUCGGACGUAGCAACAGUAACUAAAGGGGGGGUCUUUGUGAACAGUCAAUUGAGAACCUUCAGAUUAAAGGUUAUGGAUUUGGUAGGAAAAGAGAAUUAAUCACAGUAUUCUGGCAAAGCAAAACACAACUACUU